rnacentral:rRNA from 1 species
AGAGUUCUGGGCCGCACGCGCGCUACACUGACAGAGCCAACGAGUUUUUUUCCUUGGCCGGAAGGUCUGGGUAAUCUUGUUAAACUCUGUCGUGCUGGGGAUAGAGCAUUGCAAUUAUUGCUCUUCAACGAGGAAUGCCUAGUAAGCGCAUGUCAUCAGCAUGCGUUGAUUACGUCCCUGCCCUUUGUACACACCGCCCGUCGCUACUACCGAUUGAAUGGCUCAGUGAGGUGUUCGGACUGGCCCAGGGAGGUCGGCAACGACCACCCAGGGCCGGAAAGUUCAUCAAACUGAGUCAUUUAGAGGAAGUAAAAGUCGUAACAAGGUCUCCGUAGGUGAACCUGCGGAGGGAUCAUUACUGAGUGUGGGCUCCGGCCCUACCUCCAACCCCAUGUCGAAACGACUCUGUUGCCUCGGGGGCGACCCGGCCUCCGGGCGUCGGGGCCCCCGGUGGACACCUUCAUAACUCUUGCAUCUCUUGCGUCUGAGUGAUACAUAUAAUCAAUCAAAACUUUCAACAACGGAUCUCUUGGUUCUGGCAUCGAUGAAGAACGCAGCGAAAUGCGAUAAGUAAUGUGAAUUGCAGAAUUCAGUGAAUCAUCGAAUCUUUGAACGCACAUUGCGCCCCCUGGCAUUCCGGGGGGCAUGCCUGUUCGAGCGUCAUUACACCACUCAAGCCUGGCUUGGUAUUGAGCGCCGCGGCCUGCCCGCGCGCUCCAAUGUCUCCGGCUGACCGUCCGUCUCUAAACGUUGUGAAAGCGAUCGCUUGCGAGGCCCGGGCGGUUCGACCCCCUUAAACCCCCCAUUUUCUAUGGUUGACCUCGGAUCAGGGAGGGAUACCGCUGAACUUAGCCUUUCAAUAAGCGGAGGAAAAAAACCCACCGGGAUUGCCUAUAACGGCGAGUGAACGGCACCGCUCAAAUUGAAAUUGGCCAACCCCAAUUUAAUUUUAAAGAAGCUUUGGG